AUUUGAAAUCUGCGUAAGCCGAGUUGUAAUUUGAAGAUGGCUACUUUGGUAAUGGCUCUUGUCUAUGUUCCUUGGAACAGGACGUCACAGAGGGUGAGAAUCCCGUGCGAUGAGAUGUCCAUUACCGUGUAAAGUGCUUUCGAAGAGUCGAGUUGUUUGGGAAUGCAGCUCUAAGUGGGUGGUAAAUUCCAUCUAAAGCUAAAUAUUGGCGAGAGACCGAUAGCGAACAAGUACAGUGAUGGAAAGAUGAAAAGAACUUUGAAAAGAGAGUGAAAAAGUACGUGAAAUUGUUGAAAGGGAAGGGCUUGAGAUCAGACUUGGUAUUUUGUAUGGCUUGCUUUCGGGCGGGUCCUCUGCAGUUUACUGGGCCAGCAUCGGUUUGGGUGGCAGGAUAAUAGCAUUGGAAUGUGGCUCUACUUCGGUGGAGUGUUAUAGCCUUUGUUGAUACUGCCUGCCUAGACCGAGGACUGCGUCUUUUGACUAGGAUGCUGGCAUAAUGAUCCUAAGCCGCCCGUCUUGAAAC
rnacentral:rRNA from 1 species